rnacentral:pre_miRNA from 11 species
AACCGUACGGGAUAAUCCAUCUUCCCGUGCGGUCGGGUUAAGUGGACCGCACAGGAUAAUCGAUUAUCCCGUGCGGUC